rnacentral:rRNA from 1 species
UACGAAGGAGGCUAGCGUUGCUCGGAAUCACUGGGCGUAAAGCGCACGUAGGCGGACUCUUAAGUCGGUGGUGAAAUCCUGGAGCUCAACUCCAGAACUGCCUUCGAUACUGGGAGUCUCGAGUCCGGGAGAGGUGAGUGGAACUGCGAGUGUAGAGGUGAAAUUCGUAGAUAUUGGCUGGAACACCGGUGCGAAAGCGGCUCUCUGGCCCGGUUCUGACGCUGA